UUUGUAUUACGUGCGGAAAUUGUUACCAUUUUCGGAUCAAAAAUGGUAACAAUUUCCGCACGUAAUACAAA
rnacentral:miRNA from 1 species